rnacentral:rRNA from 1 species
AGUGAACGCUGGCGGUAGGCCUAACACAUGCAAGUCGAACGGCAGCACAGUAAGAUCUUGCUCUUACGGGUGGCGAGUGGCGGACGGGUGAGAAAUACAUCGGAAUCUUCUUUUUCGUGGGGGAUAACGUAGGGCCACUUCCGCUAAUACCGCAUACGUCCUACCGGUGAAAGCAGGGGAUCUUCGGACCUUUCGCGAUUGAAUGAGCCGAUGUCGGAUUAGCUAGUUGGCGGGGUAAAGGCCCACCAAGGCGACGAUCCGUAGCUGGUCUGAGAGGAUGAUCGGCCACACUGGAACUGAGACACGGUCCAGACUCCUACGGGAGGCAGCAGUGGGGAAUAUUGGGCAAUGGGCGCAAGCCUGAUGCAGCAAUGCCGCGUGGGUGAAGAAGGCCUUCGGGUUGUAAAGCCCUUUUGUUGGGAAAGAAAAGCAGCAGAUUAAAACCCCGCUGUUCUGACGGUACCCAAAGAAUAAGCACCGGCUAACUUCGUG